GUGCCAGCCGCCGCGGUAAUACCGGCAGCCCGAGUGAUGGCCGAUCUUAUUGGGCCUAAAGCGUCCGUAGCUGGCUGCGCAAGUCCGUCGGGGAAUCCACUAGCCUAACGAGUGGGCGUCCGGCGACAACUGUUCGGCUUGGGACCGGAAGACCUGAAGGGUACGUCUGGGGUAGGAGUGAAAUCCCGUAAUCUUGGACGGACCACCGAUGGCGAAAGCACUUCAGGAGGACGGAUCCGACAGUGAGGGACGAAAGCUAGGGUCUCGAACCGGAUUAGAAACCCCUGUAGUCC
rnacentral:rRNA from 1 species